CACGGAGCAAAAAUUAUGAAGAAAAGUAAUGCACACAACUCCAGUCCAUCGAUUAACAUCUUGUGAAAUGCUGAGCUGUGUUUCUGUAAUAAACAAAUCCAUAACGCUACAGUCCAUAAUAACACUUCCUCCAGUGAAAAAGUGUUCUGGUGUGAAUCAGGAGAGAAAUCUGCACAGAUCAAGCAGCGUUUAAACAAAUAUGUGUCUGGAUUCUGAUGUGAGAGACAACAGCAGAUGCACUUUUUCACUGGAGGAAGUGUUAUUAUGGAUUAUAGACUCUAUGUAUUUGAGUUAAAAACAUCUUAAUGCUGGAUGUGUUUCAUCUUUUGUCUUCUCCAGAUGUUCACUGAUGGACUAGAGUGCUGUGGAUUACUUGUGGAUUAUUGUGAUGUUUUUAUCAGCUGUUUGGACUCUCAUUCUGACGGCACCCAUUCACUGCAGAGCAUCCAUUGGUGAGACACUGAUGCAGUGCUACAUUUCUACAAACCUGAUGAAGACACAAACUCAUCCUGAUCUUAAGAAACCUGAGGGUGAGCACAUUUACAGAACAUUAAAUUUUUUUAAUGAACUAUUCUUUUAAGCCUUUAUUUAACCAAGUUAGUCUCUUCAAAUCAAAAUCUCUUUUUCAAGAGUGGCUUGGCCGAAACAACAUCAUAAAACAACAACAAACAUCAAAUAAAUGUGACAAACUAUACAUAAAACAUUGACUUAGUUCUGUAUUGUAAAAUAUGAAGGCUAUGAAUGCAAUCCUCUGCGUGCAGUAACUGUGUAUAAUGGGUUUUGUCUGCUGGAGGUCCGUUGGGUGGGCUGCACGGAUGGGGAAUGUGGCUGCUGUACUCUCUAGCCGCUCUCUGCUACAGCGCCGUCCUGUUUUCCAGUUCCUCUUUCCUGCUGGAUUUUCUCGGAGCAGCGGUCACUCACUCAAAGCUGGUGACGUCUCUGCACGUCUUGACAGCGUUCAUCUGUGUGGCGGUUGUGUGUGUGUGUGUGGCCUGUAUGAGUGUGAUUGAGCACAAUCUGCAGCGAGCGAAGACAGAAGGGCUUUGCAUGUCUGCAGGAGAAAGCUUCUACAUCGAGAUGUUGGGCCUGCUCUUCUCCUUCAUAGCGUGCUCUUUGGCCCGCAAGGGUCGUCCUGUAGCCAUCAGGCCCCGUGAGUAUCUGAGCGUGGAUGGAGCGGACUGCGACACGGAGCCUUUGAUUGGUGGAGCUGAGAGAGAGAAGUAAACAGAAAGAGUUAUGCACUUCAUUUCGAAUGGCAGAAGAGCAAGAGCGGAGCUGACCAAGAGCUGCUGUUAGAUCUCAGAGCACAAUCAGCUCCUGCUGGUUCAUGAUUGUGAGUUUGAAUUGAAUUGAUCACAGUGUACAGGAUCUCAACUAACAGGGAACGUUCUAAAAAUGUUCCGUCGAGGUUCCUUCAGUGUUAUGAACAAACGUUCCUCCAGGAACAUUCAUAGAAUGUUUGUUUUUUAAUAGUGUUCUCAAAACAUUAGCACAAAAACGUUGUUUAUACAUCAUUUACUGAAAUGUUUGAGUUGGGUGUUUUUUUUUAAAUGUUACUAAUUGUAUCAAAAACAUUCCGAGAACAUUCAAAAGUAACGUUCCUGUAACGUUUGCAUAAUUAUUAAAUGGAAUGUUCUUUUAAACGUUUGAAUAACCAGGAAAAAACAUUUACAAUUUUUAAUAACUGGACGUUUUAAAUGUUGGGAAAUAACGUUUUCAUAACUUAACUGGAACAUCAAUGUACUUUGAAUAUAUUUUUGUCAGCUGGGAUUUAGAAUCGACAGGAAUUAUUUAUUUAAUUACAUUACAACAAUCACAAAACAGUGAAAACAUGUGUUUUGUUAAAACGUUAACUAUGUCAUUAAUUCAGACUAAUUGUGACUAUUUUUUUGCUGAUAUGUAGAACAAGUUUUUCAGAAUUGAUUUGAAAUCAUAUUUUGAAAGCACCACGUUGUUUUCAGAUAAUUGUUUUGACUCUAUAUUUAAUUCUCAGGGAUAAACUGGAGCAUUCUGGGUUUUAUCGCAUAAUAAUCCAUAAACUCAAAUUUAUUUUGGUGGGACUUUACAGUUAAAUUCAUGUUAAUAAUAAAUGACAUUCAGACAUUUAUAAGUGUGACUUA
ensembl:lncRNA